AGCCACACUGGUGCCACCGUGAAGUCUUCUGGUCGUUGUCUACUUCCAUUGAGCAGCUCCGAUGGAGGGCCAAGGAAAGCGAACGUCGAAGCAGAAUAUAUACUGAAGUAAACUAAGUUGAUGCCGCGUUGAGUCGCCACAGGCGGUAACCAGUAAGGAGCAAAAUCGUGGAUAAUCCAUUUGACUUGUGAUGACUUUUUGAGGAACUCAGUCAACUGAGUUUCGAGUUUGUCAUAUGCUUUCUUGAGGUAAGGGACUUGGUGAAUGGGUAAAUCGGAGGUGGACUCAGCUCCUGGUGGCAGGCCAUGAACGUGAGGCAAGGGAAGUUGUAUAAAGCUUAUGUUGGAGCAGAGAUCUGGAGGAAGCUUCGGGAGGCGGCUGAUGUUUUUAGGAGUGGAGAUAUAGUAUAUUUUGUGACCCUUUUGAGCUAGGAACUUGGAGACUUGAAGAAAUGGCAUGAUGUGGCCAUAAGCUAACCAUGGGAACAUUACUAUAUGAAGCUGUUUUUGGCUGCCAUCCAUAACUGGAAAAUCAGACUGCUAUUAAGUAUUUAGAGAUUUUUCUUCUGUUUUUUGGUAUUUCCUUGCAAUUCUCCUAGAGACUAGAGAGACCAUGAAGAUGAACAGCCUAGAGAGAGAGAGAGAGAGAGAGAGUUGCUGGCCCUUCAAUUAUCAUAAAUUAUCGAGAACAGUAGUAUUUUUGUUUGAAAGAAUCUGCUGCAUUAGUAAUUAACUUAAUUUAAGUUGGCUGUUUUCCACCACUUAAUUAUAGGGAGAGGUAGACACUGAUCCUUGGGCCAGUUGAGCACCGUCUACAUGUUUUUUGUCAGUCAAAAUAAAGUGAGUUUUAUUAUUAAUAUUAGAAAAUUGAUACGAUUAUACUAUUCCAAUAUACUUGAGGUAUGCAUACAAUUAGAGAAAUAAGAACAUAUUCAAGAUAAUAUUUCGUCCAAAACUUUCUACCAACAAGUAUUUUAGAACGAUUUAUAUUAAGUAUAGCUGAAAAAAAUAAACAAGAGUCGAAAGUGGCCUCCACAAAAGAACAAAGUGCACAAAUCAGCACAAAAGCAGAAAAACGAAAAUGCCAAACGCAAGGGACAGAGAAUCAACAGCAAAGGUGAAGGAAAAACCAAAAAAAAAACAUUAAAAGGCGGACCAGCAAAGGAAAAACCCAAGAAUCAGAUCACAGAUCAUGAGGGAGAGGACUUCACGAGAUGGUCAGGCAGCACGUUCUCAGAUAGAGGAAAAAAAUAUAUAUAACUAAAAAAUUUAAAAGUGAAAGAAAUUAAAACAUUCGUUCAAUAACUUAAAUUAAUAAUUUUACUCAUCCUAGAAAACACACAACUUUACUCUUCUUAACCUCUUUUUUUUAUCUAUUUUUAAUCAUUUAUAUAUACUAAAUAUAAAAAAGGGAAAUGUAACUUUCCUUGCUCUCCUCGUUUUUCCCCCACCAUUUUCACUUUCCUUCCAAUUAAAUAUUUAGUGUUAAAGCUGGCAUGAUCUUGCUUUUCAAAUGGAAAAACAGAAAAGUUGCCAUGAUCUAACCCAACAAAUAAUUCUUGCCUACCUUGCCCGGCCCUUUUCGACACCGUAGGAGAGGACAAGUUACUCAUAUUUCAUUGGGUCCACGCUGCAUGGCCCAUCUACUGCACCUUAAGGUCAGUUGCUGUCCUUACUCCAUCGAUCCAUCGAUCUAUACAAGCGUAUUUGUGCACCAACGAAAAUUAUUGUACAUGCUAAACUAGAGCAACGAAGCAGAUAAUCACAUGUUAAAUUUGGGAUAUUACAAAUAUUAAUGUUUCCUUUUGUUAUAUUUAUUUAUUUAUUUAUUGUANNNNNNNNNNNNNNNNNNNNNNNNNNNNNNNNNNNNNNNNNNNNNNNNNNNNNNNNNNNNNNNNNNNNNNNNNNNNNNNNNNNNNNNNNNNNNNNNNNNNNNNNNNNNNNNNNNNNNNNNNNNNNNNNNNNNNNNNNNNNNNNNNNNNNNNNNNNNNNNNNNNNNNNNNNUGAGUAUUUAACUUAUUAGUUAAUAUAUAAUCUUUCUACUUAAAAAAAUAUAAUUUAAAUCUUCCUUCUCUCAAUUAUAAAAAAAAAUUACCAAAAAGCUAAAUUGAAAUGCAAGAAUCCCAAUUAUAAAUUGCAGCUAUUAUUGCAUAUAUCUACCAAAUGAUUAAACUUUAGAACAAGUUAAAAACUUGUCAAUGCACCGAUCGAGUGGACUGGUCUAGGUGCUAGCAUUCAACUCUGCAAUCUACAUUGCCCAAAAUCUUACCACCAACCAUGACUCGCCUAAUGGACUGGGCCACCUAUAAAUUGUUUCAAUCUUUAAUAUUCUAUCCCAAGCCCCUUGCCAUGCAACAAACUAGCAACCAACCCAAGAUCAGAAGAAAUUGCUCCAGAAACCCCACAAGACCAAGCCCGCCGCGAAACUCGUUCUUCCGACCCAACAGCCCUUGAACUAAUGGGUAGUUCUUCACCAAUGACCACCCACAUAAAGCGUAACCCGGAUUUGCUCUAGAAGCAUACACAGACUCAUCUCACUGCCUAAUUCUCAACUCUUUACUACAUAGCAAGCCAUGUCUUCAAUGCUUCCCAGUUCUCAUCUCUUUUGCCUUCAUUACUUGGCAUGAGCGGUACAGCAACCCUACUGGUUUCUGGUAAAGUUUAAUUAGUGAGCAAAAUGAAAGGGCUCAUCUUCUAACUCGGAGCAGCUCCUUAAUUAGAGUCGCAAAGUUACAGCUUUUUCAAGUGCUAGCUGUUCCGAAACGAUGAAAAUCGGAUACGUCCGGCUCCAUGCACUCCAUCUCGAUCCAUGUGACUCACUAUUGCAACGAGCUUAAAAGCUACGUUACUCGGAUAAUCUAUCCACUCAGGUACCACUAGUAAACGAAGUCUUUAUUCUACACGUACGCAGCGAGCGGCCACCACGCGAUGGAGAGCCGUCAAAAGCCAGCGUCGAAGCGCUAAAUAUGCCAAUGAAGAUUGAGUUGAUGCCGAGCCGAGUCAAGAUUGUGGGUAAUCCAAUAUAUAGGUAGUGAGGUUUUGACAUUUGAGGAAAUAAACAAUAUAAAUGUUUUUAAGGUACAUAUACAUGAAUAUGUUUAUUAAACUUCAAAUUAAUUAUCUCAUGAGAAAUCAAGAGUUUCUUUUACGUAGCUACAUUUUGAUUUUAAUUCUAUCAUGAUAAUCUUUUUAAAAGUGUACUAAUGAACUUGCUUAAUUUUGUAAUAAUUUAACUAAUAAUUAACUUGAUUUAUAUUACAUUAAUUAUAAAACUUUGUUUCUCUUUUCUUUUUCAAAAACUGAUGAUGUUUUAUAUCUUAUGUACUGAAUUAAUUAUAUAUAGUAAAUCAUUUAAUCAAGAAAAAAAAUAUAUUGAAUAUCACAAAGAGGAUUAAUUUCUACAAAAUUAAUUUACCGUAGCUUAACUUACUGAUCUCCUUUUUAAUUAAACAAGUAAACAAAUACAGCUACGGAUGCCAUCCUACUUACUUAUAUAGCUUAUUGACUCAUGAGAUAUAUAUGAUCCUCUUUUAUUUUAUUUUUAUUAUUUUUCAUAAAUUACAUCAUAUGGUAAGCUAAUUUUGAUCUUAAACUAAAAUUUGACUUAACAGUUAUUACUUCAGUUUAGGAAGGUUAAAAAUUAAGGUUCAAAAUGUAUUAAUUUUGGCUUUCAACUUCUUUACAAAACAAAAAAAAAGAUAUUAAAACUGUUAGUAAUAAUAAUUUUUGUUGCAUAUUUAGACAAGCCAAUUAUGAACACAAUAGUUUAAACUCUUAACUCUAGUCCUUAAAAAAGGAUAAGAGCAACAUAUAUUAUAUAUUCAGAUUUAUAAAAGGAAAAUUGAAAAGGAAGAUCAGGGCUCAGUGUGCAUGGAGAAAAGGCAAUCUCUAAUGGAACAUCAGCAGACCCACAGAUUAGGGAGAGAUUCUUAGCAACUAAUUAACAGUACUAAUUAUGAGAUGUACAUGAAGAAAUAGUAUUUUUUAGGGUUAUUGCUUAUUCAUAUUGCUAAGGUGCUAACUGCUUAGACACUUUAAUUAAAAACAUAUAAAUGAUGUGGAAAACCCAAAUUUUAAAUAGGUUUAAAGGAUUUUUCAAGAUCUGAACACUGAUUUUAACCAAUAGAAGAGUUACUGAUUGGAAAUUGAUUACUUGCACAUCAGACAGAAACCCCAUAAACUAGCAUGUGUCAGCUUUAGUUGUACGGGGUUUGUUGUGGGAUGGAUUUUGUGAUCAAUCUUUCAAGUGAACUUCAAAUUCUAAGCUUCACCUUCCCACCUUUUAAAAUUGACUCUGCAUAAAAGGAAAAAGAGGGGAGAAAAUGAAGGAAAACAAGGAAAGGACACACUCCAUUGAAUGAAGAGUUAGUGAUGUGUGCUUUGCAUGGUUGGAUAUACACAGGAGCCUUGUUAAACCAUGAAGCAGGUCAUACUUAUCGAAAUCAAAGAUUUUGAUUGUCAGGAAUUAUGAAAAUGGAGCAACGAUUUUCUUUUAUUUUGAAAAAAAAAAAAAGAAUUCAAAUCUAACACUUUCUACAAGGUAGAACACUUUAUCUAGCAGUGAUUGAGUAACGGUUUGAACCAAGAAUGACUCUUGUUAUGCUGCAAUGGUCUUUAAAAUAAGAAAAACUCAACUUUCCAAAAUUCUGGAAAAAUAGAAAUUAACCAAUAAGUCAAUGUGCACUUAAAAGUAACAAUUGACAACCUUUAAUUUGGAUUAAUAGCUACAAAAGAUAUAUAGUGGGGGACAGAAAGAGGUGGGGGACAGAAGGAGAGCAAGCGCAUAAAGUUUCAAGCAUGAGGCGCUCAUACAAGAAAGAACCCUUUGUGCUCACUCUCUUCUGUCACGUUCCUGACAGACCUGGUCAAGUAUUCGUUUGCGAUGAUCACCAAUCAAAGCUGAUGGAGGGCCAAGGAAAGUAAAGAGCGUAGCAUUGAAUAUGCUGAAGAAAACUAAGUUGAUGCCGAGCGGAAUAGCAACUCCAGGUAACCAGUGAGGCAUAAAGUCAUGGUUUAUCCAGUUGACAUGUGAGGUUUUGAGGAACUCAGUCAAAGGGACUUCCAGCUUGCAUAUGCCUUUUUAAGGUAAGGAACUUUCUGGAUCGGUAUCUCAGCGGUGGACUCAACUCCUGGUGGUAGGCCAUGAACCUGAGGAAGAGAAAUCUCAAUAAAGCUUAUGUUAGAGGACAGAUGUGUGGGGAGUUUAGGGAGGCGGCUAAUGUUUUUCGGGGUGGAGAUAUAGGAUAUGCGAUGACCCUUUCGAGCUAAGAAUUUGGAAACCUCGAGAAAUGGCAUAAUGUGACCAUAAGCUAGCGAUGGGAACAUUGCUAUGUGAAGCUUUUCUUUUCCGUCCAUGGCGUUUCGUGAGUGCAGAUCAAUCGGGGAAAAUAGAAAGAGAAUGAGGACUUGGGGGCUUUUGUUCCUUCAGUAAUUGAUUUCUUCAUAUCAAUGAGAGACAUAUCAGAUCAAAGUAUCUCUGUAAAAUAAUUUUUUUUGGCUGAAAAUCAUUAACAAAAAAAAAAUAAUAAUAAUAAAGGGUAUUUUAAAAAAUAGUCUUUAAAGAUAAAGAUGUUUUAAAAAUAACCCUCUUUAUAAUAUUAACUAUUUUUAGUCAAGUUGGAUAAAAUUAUCCUCAAUAAAGUUACACGCUAUGAUGUUACACGUCAUGUACAAAAACCUGUGAUAAGUCAUAAUUAGCGUGUUACACACUAUAUACAAAAACUUGUGACAAGCCAUGUACAAAAACUUGUGACAAGCCAUGGUUAGUGCGUUACACGUUAUGUACAAAAAAAUGUGACACGCCAAGUAUAAAAACCUGUGACAAGUCAUGGUUAGCAUGUUACACGCUAUGUACAAAAAUAUGUGACAAGUCAUGAUUAGCUUGUUACAUGCCAUGUACAAAAAUAUGUGACAAGCCAUGUACAAAAAUCUGUGACAAGUUAUGGUUAGCUUGUUACACACCAUGUACAAAAACUUGUGACAAGCUAUGGUUAGCGUGUUACACACUAUGUACAAAAAUAUGUGACACGUCAUAUACAAAAACAUCUGACAAGCCAUGGGUUGCGUGUUACACGUUAUGUACAAAAACCUGUGACAAGCUAUGGUUAGCUUAUUGCACGCCAUGUACAAAAACCUGUGACAAGCCAUAGUUAGGUUGCUACACGUCAUGUUAAAAAAAAUAUUGUUGUUACACACCAUGUAGAAGAACAUGUUACACGUCAUGGUUAAAAAAGGGUUGUUACACGCCAUGUUGAAAAAAAAAUAUUAUUAUUACACGCCAUGUUGAAAAAAUAUUGUUGUUACACGAUAUAUUCAAAAACAUUUUGUUACACUUUAAUGUUUAAAAUGUUGUUGUUACUUACGAACCAAAACUUCAAAUUCUCUCAACUUUUUUUUUUUGACAAUUUGGCNCAGGCUUUCACAAAUAUAUCUUCGGAUAAAGAGGAAUAGAAAAAGGAAAUAAAAAAAAUGAAUACUAAAAGGAUAUCAAUUUAGGCAAGUAUAGGUACCCAUCUAAAGCUACUACAUAUAAGAAUAUUGUGCAGAAACAGGCGAAUCAAAUUGAAAUCCUAGGAAAAGAAGAGUAAUUUUUAUUAAACCUUAUUAAACCCUUUCUAGUCAGCAGAAAUAUCUUGAGUAUGUAAGAGUAAUUUGAUUUCAAUCACAUUUUUUUAAGUUUAGACUUUGCCUAGUAGACAAUUUGAUAAACACGAGAAUUUUUAUUAAAGGGACAUUUUUAAAAAUAACCCUUAAAGAUAAGAUGUUUUUAAAAAAUAACACUCUUUAUAAUUUUAACUAUUUUUAAUCAAGUUGGACAAAAUUACUCUUAAUGAAAUCACACGCUAUGAUGUUACACACCAUAUACAAAAAUAUGUUAUCCGCCAUGAUUAGGUUGUUACACGUCAUGUGCAAAAACAGGUGACACGCCAUGGUUAGGUUGUUACACACAAUGUACAGAAACAUGUGACACGUCAUAUACAAAAACAUGUGACAUACCAUGGUUAAGUUGUUACACACCAUAUUAAAAAAAAUACUAUUGUUACACACCAUGUACAAAAAUAUGUUACACGCCAUGGUUAAAAAAGGUUGUUACAUGUCAUGUUAAAAAAAAAUAUUGUUGUUACACGCUAUGUUAAAAAAAAUAUUAUUGUUACACGCAUGUUGAAAAAUAUAAUUGUUACACGAUAUAUUCAAAAAUAUUUUGUUACACUUUAAUGUUUAAAAUGUUGUUGUUACUUACGAACCAAAACUUCAAAACCUCUCAACUUUUUUUUUGACAAUUUGGCACAGAUAAAGUGUUUCUAACAUGUUUUCAUAAAUCAAAAUACAAAUAUAUUUUUUAUCUAAAACACCUACUUUGACUAAAAAUAAAAAAAAAUUUGAAAACUUAGAUUUAUAAAUUUCAAAAUUUGAGUUUAUUGGUAUCUAGGUUCCGAAUUGAUUCAAUUAAAAGUUAUUUCAUACAUUUGUGAUUAUUUCUACCGUUUUAAUUUUAUCCAAAAUAUCUAAAAAUCGAAUUUUCCAAACAAUCACCCACCCAAGCACGUCAAAAUCAUUGUUUGGUGUUUUGAAAGCAUAAGAAAGAGAAAUUUGAAAAUGUGGGAGAGAGAAAUUAGAAGCAUAGCAGAUGCAUGCCGAAUAGAGAAAUCGAUAAAAUUUAAGAGAUUGGGAUGGUGAGAGAGAAAUUCGAAGUACAAAUGGAGAGAAAUGGGAAGAAAUUGUGAUGAAUGGUUUAAUUUAUUUCAAAUAGUUUAAAGGGUAUUUUCGUCAAGUCAUGACUAAAUAUGGCUAAAAACAGUUAAACUUAUUUUGAUAGCUAUUUUUAAAAUGUCUUUAUCAAAAAAUGUCAUUUCUCACAAUUUCCUCUAAUAAUAAUAAUAACUUGAAAAGUACCCACGCCAUGCAGUGGGUUUACUAUAUUUUAUAAAUGCUUAAAUGUUAAAAAUUAUGAGUUAAUGAUAAGAAUUGUAAAAGUUGUUAUUGAUAUAAUCCUGCAUGCUAAUUAAUAUUUGAUAUAUAUACAUUUUGUCAAUAAAUGCACAAAAACUAUCAUAAUAUGUACAAAAAUGGUUCUACAUUCUCAAUGAGUAACAUGUUGUCCUAAAAAAGAAAAGAUAAUAAUCCUGCUAAUUAACAUUCGACAUAUCUACAAAUAACAUUUACUACAAAAUGUAAAAAAAUUGUUCCCAUAAAUCAAUGACAAGCUGCUUUGAAAAACAGGAUAAAAGUUCAACAAAAUUACAUGUACUAUGGAAUCAUUUUUGUGAAGGAAACCUAAGCAUGCUAGUCCUUGAUCUAAUACACAUCCAUCGUCAAUAUUGCUUGUCUCUUGAACCAAUAACACAGUGGCAAUCAGAACAAAAACUAUAAAGAUUGAAAAGGCUAUGUUUGUGGUGAUCAAAUAAAUCUUAACAGAAAAAAUGCCUCUUUUAUUUUGUUCCUAAUUAGAUUAUCUAGUAAUUGUUGCUUUGAAGAGAAAAGCAAUUACACAGUUAAAUUAGCAAAGUAGAGAUAAAGAAAACUGAAACCAAAAUUCUUAUGAAAAAAGAAAAUUUGAAAAAAUGAAUCUAGCCCCAAAAUCUUCUACACCAAAGUUUUGAUACAAUAGCUAAUAGUAAUGUCAAAGUCCAACCAUUCACAGCAUUAGCUUUACCCUCGUGUCAUAGAAAAGCUUGAUUUAUUCUCAGUGUAAAUUGUAGAGAGGCAAUAACAAUUUACUUGCACAACAGAUAACCAAUCAUAAAUGUAAACUAAUAGGAAAUCAGUAAUUUUUUAGCCUUCAUACUAAUCCCAGUGGCCAUUAGUUUACUUUACACUCAAGGAAAGUUCAUUUGUCAUACUUUUGACAUGUAGAUUGCCUCAUAUCUAGGAACUUUCAAAUUCGAGAAAGUUCGACAACUAUAUAACUAUUACGUUAAAUGGGCAGCUUUUGUUGUAAGUUCGCCAAUGGAGAUUAGAAAUCUAUUUGAGAUUGGAUACAAAAUUUUAAAAGUUCUAGAAAGUGCACCUUUAAAUUCCAUUAGGAUCCUCUGCAAGUUUUAGUCAAAUUCAAACAUAGAAUCAUAUAAAAUGUUUGAUAAAAUACCUACAAACAUAUAUGGUACAUAUUAUGGGAACUAAGAACCACAUGAACUUUAGAAAAUUUAAAUCAUAUGUAACUAGAGCUAAACUGUAAAAGUUUAGCAGUGUAUACAUAUAUUUGUAAAAAUAAAUUUCUGAACAUGACAACAUAUGCAAUUAAGCUCUCAAAUGAUUUUGUGAAUCUAAAUCAAAUAUCUAUCAAGCGUGACUUUUACAUAUAUAUUUUUAUUUGGUUUUAAAACAGGAAGCAGAUUUAAGUCGAGCCUUCUGUAAAAGAAAAGAGUCAACCCUAAAAAAAAAAACAAUUUAAAUAUGAGAAGAACAUAUGAGAGUCAAGUAUGAGUAGAACAAACAAACUAUUAGAGAGUAAUUGGGAAAUUUGUUUACUUGUACAUCAACCACGAUGAUAUAGUUGAAGCAAAUAAUAAGAAACAUUAUCUAGUUUCCUUUCACUUUCUUCACUAAUUAUCAAGGAAGAAGCAUCAUGACAAUGAAAAUUUUAAAUCCCUUGUAUGAGAUAUAGAAACACUGCUAAUUUUUUGAUUGGUUAAAUGCUUUCUACGAACAAUAAAUUAGUGAUUGUUUAAGGAAUAAUCUACAAAGUUUUAAGACAAAAACAUGUCUUUCUUAGUUGAAUGUGAUGCUAUAAUUCGUCAUUAAAUAAGAUGAUUACCUUAAAAGGGGAAUAAUAUGAAACUUGUCAAUGAUAAAAUAGUCAAAUGAUGGUCCAAACCAUAAGAAAAAGCUGGAAGACUCUGGAAUUAUUUAUCCUUUUAGCUUUUGACAAUGCUUGUGCACUUAUGUCCUAGUAUAUAUAUUUAAUUUAAACACUAAUACAUAUUCCUUAAAAUUAACACAAUAUAUAAAGUAUAUGUAUUAAAAGAUAUUACAAGUUAAUUAAUAAUCAUAGUUUCAUGAAUUAAUUUAAUUAAUAAUAUGUGUUUAUCUUUAAUUACGUGAAAUUAAGAAAAAAAAACAUCAUUGAGUUUGAGUAUUGGAUACCCAAAGGGUGAUACUCAAACCUUACCCGAACCCAUUACUAAUAGUGAAAUUAUUACCUGAACUCGAUUAUAGGGUACUCUAACCCUCUAUAACCAAGUCGGGUACCUGCUAGUACAUUGUAACAAGGUACCCAUUACCAUCUCUAUAUGUAAAAUCCUUUUGCCAAAUGUUAGAAGACCCUGUUUGGAUUCAAUUUUUAAUAUAUUAGAGGUAAAUUCAUGCAUUGCACAUGACUCAUUUAGUUUAUAUCUUUCAAGAUAUAGCUCAUCCAUUAAAUACAUCACAACUAUCCUCCUUUAGAGUCCACUUGACAAAAAUUGAGAAUCUUGAUGGAAGUUUUAUUUAAGCUUCACAAUCGCUCUUGAAAUCUCUUCUUGGUCAAAUGUAUAAGUCCCAUUGAAAUUUCAUUAGUUAAAUACCCAAAUAAGCCCCUGAACUAUGUCAAAAAAAUUAAUUCAGCCCCUAUCAUUUUAUUGCGUUCAAAUAAGCCCCUGAACUUUUAUUUCGAAUCAAAUAAGUCUCUCUCCCUAAUCAUUGACUAACUUUCAUUAGUCAACGGUACAUGUGACACUUUAUACCAUGUCAUCUGCCACGUGACAGAUGAUGUGGCAUUAAAUAUUAUUGAUUAGGAUUUAAGCAAAUGGGUAAAAAAGUAAGCACACAAAUCCUAAUCAACAAUAUUUAAUGCCACAUCAUCUGCCACGUGCUAGAUGACAUGAUAUAAAAGUAUCACAUGUAUCUUUGACUAAUGAAAGUUAAUCAAUAGUUAAGGAAAGGGUUUAUUUAACUCGAAAUAUAAAUUCAGGAGUUUAUUUGAAUGCAAUAAAAGGAUAAGGGCAGAAUUGAUUUUUUUGACAUAGUUUAGGGGCUUAUUUGGGUAUUUAGCCAAUUUCAUUUUAUAUGGUCAAAAUACUUGAGAAGUCCUUGUACUAGGACAUUUGCUUCAAUUUAGUCUUUCUACCAAAAAUCAUAAUAUUUUAGUCCCUUCAUUUUGGGAGUUGCUUCAAUUUAGUCCAUCUCAUAUUUUUCGUUUAAAUUAACCAUUACGUUAUUGACAUCAGUGCUAACGUAACACCAGAUGUUGACGUGGCACUGCCACGCAUCAUGAAAAGUGACGUGGUGCAUUAUGAGGCAUGUCAAAUGUAUAAGUCCCAUUGAAAUUUUCUUUUAUAUAUAAUAUAAAUGGUCAAAAUACCUGAAAAGUCCUUAUAUUAGGAUAUUGUUUUUAAUUUAGUCAUUUUACUCAAAAUCGUAACAUUUUAAUCUCUUCAUUUUAGGAAGUGCUUCAAUUUUGUCCCUUUCACAUUUUUCAUUUAAAUUAACCGUUACAGUACUGACAUCAAUGCUAAUGUGGCACUAAUGUAGCAUUAGAUGUUAACGUGACAUUACCACGUCAUCAGAAAAAGUGACAUGGUGCAUUAAGAGGCUGAUGCAUGGCACUUUUAUUCUUUAAAACAAGAUGUGCUUUUACAGAAGUUUGGACCCAAUACCUUUAGAAAAUAUGUCAAGGCCUUUACCACCACACCUAAGCCUUUAUUCAAAGUUAUAACUUGCUUGUAUUUAUUUCUUUUUUCCUUAAAACUACAUCAUUUUGAAACAUUUUUUUUUGAAGAAGAAAGCUUCAAAGGGUUUUUAUUGCUAGAGUUUUUGAGAGUGUAAAAUACUUCAAAACGACGUAGUUUUGAGGAAAAAAGGAAAAAUAAGAAAAAAAAUGAGAGAAGAAAAGAAGAAAUAAAACAAAAACAAAUUAUACUUAUCAGUAAAGGCUUGGGUGUAGUAGUAAAGGCUUUAGCAUUUUUGCUAUAGGUCUUGGGGUUCGAACCUUAAUAAGAGUACAUCUUGUUUUGAAUAAUAAAAAUGCCACAUGGCAACCUCUUGGUGUUCCAUGUGGCAUAUCAUACCCAAAUUAUGACGUGGCACUACCACGUUAACGUGUCAAGGUGAUGUGGCAUUGCCACGUUAGUACUGGAACUCAAGAGACUAAAUUGAAAAAAAUACUUUAAUACAAUGACUUUUUAGAUAUUUUGAGAGGUAUAGAUGUCCCAAUUAAACAAUAACCUUGAAAUAGAAAAAGUCAAUUGUAAAGCUUUAAGAUCUUCGCUACUCCAGUACUGAGUUCGACAUUUGCAGGCGAUCUUUCCUUGUGGUCCUGCCACGUCACAUCCCAUUACGAGCAUCUUUCUUGUAAUACUAAAACUAAACUUUAUCUUCCAUCAAUAAGGGCUUGGGCGUGGUAGUAAAGUUUUUAGCAUAUUUGCUAUAAGUCUUGAGUUCAAACCAUAAUAAAAGCACAUACUCUUUUGAAGAAUAAAAAUGCCACACCGUAACCUUUUGAUGUGCCGUACGGCAUCUCAGACCUAAAUUAUGACGUGGCACUAUCAUCUCAGUGUGUCAGAGUGAUGUGACACUGCCACGUUAGUACUUGAACUCAAAGUGUGAAUGCCAUGUCACCCUUGACACGCUGACAUGGCAUUUGGUGCUACGUUAAUGCCAGGUCAGCACCGUAACAAUAAAUUUAAACGAAAAAUGUGAGAGGAACUAAAUUGAGAAAUUUUUAAAAUAAAAGAAUUAAAAUAUUAUAAUUUUGAAUAAAAAAUUUAAAUUAAAAAAAACCUUAAUGCAAGAACUUUUCAAAUAUUUUUAAAAGUAUAAAUGUCCUAAUUUUUUUUUUUGAAAAGCAUAGGUGAAUUUUCAUAAAUAACUAGGAAUGAAGCAUUCCUUUACAGGGGUACAUCUGCAACAAAAUCAAAACCUAGGAGUAAUGGAAGCAAUACCACUACUAGAAACUCCAUUACUCCCUUACAAAACUUCCCCUCGCUUACAACAAAUAUCAAAAGAAAAAAGCCACAGCUUAAUACACAUCCUUGGAGCCUCAACCAGCAUUCCUUCACGUCUUAAACUCAAAAUUCUAUACAUUCGUAAAGCCAUUCAUAACCCUUUUGAACCAAAUCAACAAAGCACAAAUAUUCAAGACACAUUAAACAAAACUAAGGGGACUAAUAUUAUGAGACUUUUCACAUUUAUAACAUUGCUCCUUACUACAAGUUCUCAUCCGGAAUCCACAAAAAUCAACACUAAACAAAACUAAACAAAUUAAAAUAUUCGAAUAAUAUCAUAUUGAAGUUGCACACCUUACUUAGCCAGAUUAUUAGCUUUUUCAUUUGUUUCACGCAUGAUGUGUCUAAUUAUCCAGCCAUUCAAUUCCUCCUUCAUCCUUUCCAUUUGAAUCGGCCACUUCCUCAUUCUUCACGGAGCCGUGUCUGGUUGCUUAGUUCAUUUAACUGCAUUGCUUGAAUCGCUUUCAAUGCAUAAUAAAUUGUCAUUUUUCCACCUAGAAGUAAAAAAGAUCACAAACGCUUCCCUCACAACUAAGAUCUCCGUGAGGUUAGCAUCAACUGAUCCUAUUGGCUUUGAGAAUGUCACUUUGACCACCCCAUUAAAAUCUUUGAGAAUGCCUCCAAUUCCAGUUGGACCCGGGCUUCCUCUUACUGCUCCAUCCAUAUUAAAUUUCAUUUAACCUGGUUUUGGCAUUUUCCACUUAAUCCGUUACCUCCCCAGCAUUGAUUUUCCAUGCAAACUUCGAAUUGGACACUAUCGGUAGAUAUCUAACACUGACGGCAAGUCCCUUGGCCAUUUGGCAUUGUCCCAAACUACCACCCUAACCUUGACUAAUUCGAGACAUUGUUCUGCGUCCCAUUAUUUACCAUUAAAGGUACAUUCAUUCCUACAUUUUCAAAUCGACCACACUAUAGCAAAGUAGGCCAUCUUUCAUAUUUUAUUAUCAGUGUCCCCAAGAUGGAACCCAUUCCAUGUUUUGAAGAAGUCUUUAUUCGUUCUUGGAGAAGUCCACAUAAAACUUCAACUUUGACACCAACCCAUUCAUAUUUUCCAAGUCUCCAUACAUUCAACAAAAAGAUGGUUACAAGUUUCCAUACCCAAAUUACACAACACACAAAGCAAAGAACUAUUCAAUUGAAUCCCUCUUUUGACUAACUCUUCCUUCACCCCUAUCUUACCUAAAAGCAUUUGCUACACAAAAACCUCCACUUUCAAAAGGGCUAAUUUUGCCCACACAAAUAUCCAAAUCCCAUUCGUAGAAUCCAUGGAAGACAAAGCAUACUUACAAAAAGAUUUAGAUGUGUAUUUUCCACUAGGCUCCCUUUUUCAAACCCCUCAUCUUUGAAAUCCUUGCUAAACUACUGUUCUUGGAGCAUACCUUGCAGCUGCGCCUAUUGUUCAACCUCCCAAUCAAAUAAUUGUCUCCUAGUCUCCACUUUCCACUCGCAGACCCCGUCCACCCAAUUCCCAAAUUCAGCAACCUUACCAUACUUAUUCACAGCUAACGCAAAUAACCUUGGGAAAGAAAUUGUAAGAGUGACUCCUUCGAUCCAGUCGUUCUGCCAAAAACAUAAAUUCUCGUCGUUACCUUCAAUGAAAUCGAAAUUAGACUGGACUUACAAAAAAUACUUGUUAGAAGGGAAAUGGGGCUAACUAUUCUUUUCCACAAAGUAGACACUCUUUUAUUAACACUCGUGCUUGGCAUGAGAUCUAAAGGAUCGCUUACGGUUUUCUCAACAAGAACCUCUCUCCAUAAACUAUCCUUCUCUCUCCCCUACCUCUAUAACCAUUUAUUAAGCAGAGCUUGAUUUUUCACUUCCAAAUCGAUCAUACCAAUUCCUCCACACUCUUUGUAAUUGCACACUUGAUCCCACCGAACAUAGUGAAUUUUCUUUUACCUUCCUCACCCUCUCAUAGAAAUCUCUUUUGCACUCUUUCCAAUUCAUUCUUCACUCGAACUGAAAUUUGGAACAUCGACCUAUAAAAAAUAAGAAGACUGGCUAAAACAGAUCUCAACAAAGUGACUCUCCCACCCGAUGAAAACGUCUUAGCUUUCCAUCUAGCGAGUUUCACCUUCACUCUAUCCAACACUGGCCCCCAAAGUUUAAAAAAAUUAUGAUUCACCCCCAAAGAUAACCCAAGAUAAAUAACUAGGAUUUUUCCAACUUGACAAGUAAUUCUCCUUGCCCAUCUCGCAAUCCUUUUUUGCUUAACUCUAAUUCCAAUCAUUUGACUUUUAUAAAAAUUAAUUUUCAAUCCCGACACAUCUUGAAAGCAUCUCAAUAUUCUCCUUAGUGCCCUAAAACUCUCCAAGUUAGGAUCUAAGAAGAAAAUAGUAUGAUAGGCAUAUUGUAAGUAGAAAAGCAAUAACCUUGAUAUAGAAAAGCCAAUUGUGAAGCUUUGAGAUCGUCUGCUAUUCUGGUACUCCCUGAUUGGAGUCCGUCAUUUGCAUGGGGUCCCUCGUUGGGGUCCAGCCAUGUCAAAUCCCACCGCAAGCAUCUUUCUUGCAAAACUAAAAAUGAACUUUAUCUUCCAUCAGUUCAAUGUUCUGUUUUCUAUUUUGAACCUUUGGUUUUUUUUAUCAUUUAUAUUUCAAAUUUAUUUUUUGUAAUAGCAAUUUUAUAUAAAAAAUUUAAAAAUUGAGUACUAACAUAUAUUAAAAUCAAUAUUUAAAAAAAAAUUUAUGAAGAUAAAGGAAAAAGAUAAAAAGAAUUGAUGUUUUCGUAUUUACGAUAAUUCAUUGAAAGCCGGUGGGGACGAGAACGACGUUGGUGUCGGCCAACAUUCGACAUGACAUCUCAUGUGAUACUUCGCUUUAACUUUUAUAGGAAAAGUUUUGUACUUAUCAUUAAAAACCAUGAACGGCAUAUAUACACAUAAAAGAAAAUCAUUUGUCAUAAAAUGAAAAUUCGCAUAAUAAUACCCUGAGAAUGACAACACUUGGCAUCUUCAGCAGUUUGGAGAAUGAAAAUAUCAUGAUCAUAAGCAUAGACGGUGACGCCUACAGGUCAAACCUCAGUGUCAGAAGGUGGAAAUUCUUCGAUGGACCGAGUGAACUCGUUCAAGUACUUGUUACUCAGCUCUACACUGCUAAAAAUCUCCUUCACUGCGUAUGCAUUUGCUCUGAGUGGCUCCCCCUCGGGAUCCACCAUGACUCGCUUAAUAGACUUAGCCACCGAGUCACUUGUGAAUGAUCCAUCAAGAUCGUUUCUUUCUAUUUCCAACCCAAACUUUUUGCCAUGCAUCAACCUAGCAACCAACCCAAGAUCCGAACUUGCACCGGGAAAUAAUAUCAAAGGCAGACCAAACCCGAGUGCCUCAAUAACUGAACUCCAACCGCAGUGAGUCAAGAAACCACCAACUGAGGAGUGAGCCAAGACCCUGAGUUGAGGUGCCCAGCCCCGUAAAACCAAGCCCCGACCCGAAACUCGUUCUUCGAACCCGGAUGGGAGUAUGUCCUGCACCAACUGUCCUUCAACGAAAGGGCGGUUUCUGACCGCCCAAAUAAAUGGCAGCCCGGAUUUCUCUAUCCCAAAUGCCAACUCGUGCAUGAACUCUUGACUCAAACUCACCUCACUACCCAGUGCAACAUAAAAAACUGACUUGUCUCGUCUGGUAUCAAGCCAUGUCUUCAUUGCUUCCCAAUUCUCAUUUUCUUUAUCUUCGUUACUUGGCAAUGAUGGCGGCAAUAAUCCAAGCGGAAUAAUAGGUUUCUGGUGAAUCUUACUAAGCACACGAAGCGCGUCAGCUUCGACCUCAUAGCAGCUCCUCAAAGCCACAAUUUUGCAACUUAAAAGCAACGUUCCGACCCGUUCAAAAUCGGACACAGAGUCCAUACACUCCUGGUGACCAACCAUUUCAUGGAGCUUAAAAGCUAGGUUGUUAGGAUAAUCCAGCCACACUGGUGCCAUCGUGAAGUCUUCUGGUCGUUGUCUACGUCCACUGAGCAGCUCCGAUGGAGGGCCAAAGAAAGCGAUCGACGAAGCAGAAAGUAUACUGAUGAAAACUAAGUUGAUGCCGCGUUGAGUCGCCACAGGCGGUAACCAGUAAGGGGCAAAAUCGUGGAUAAUCCAUUUGACUUGUGAUGACUUUUUGAGGAACUCAGUCAACUGAGUUUCGAGUUUGUCAUAUGCUUUCUUGAGGUAAGGGACUUGGUGAAUAGGUAAAUCGGAGGUGGACUCAGCUCCUGGUGGCAGGCCAUAAACGUGAGGCAAGGGAAGUUGUAUAAAGCUUAUGUUGGAGCAGAGAUCGUGGAGGAAGCUUCGGGAGGCGGCUGAUGUUUUUAGGAGUGGAGAUAUAGUAUAUUUUGUGAUCCUUUUGAGCUAAGAACUUGGAGACUUGAAGAAAUGGCAUGAUGUGGCCAUA
rnacentral:lncRNA from 1 species